AUGUAGCUAGAGAAAGAAGUCAGUAAUUAUUAUCAUAGUUCCCCCAGAAAGGUGAAAGUCUAUUUUUUUGUUUUGUUUUUCUUUUCCCUUAACUAAGCUAUAAAUUUUACUUAUGUUUCACCCGCUUUUCCAUUCAUAUAUUUUGAGUCUACAAAUAUAGGAUAUUACCUUAGAACUAGUUUCUUGUGUCUGCAAUCUCCCCUUUCUUAUAUCUGAUCUCUACUUUCAUGAUUUGGCCACUUGGAGGUGUCUGCCUGGAUAUUUUGAAGAAUGUUCUCCAAACUGGUUAUCUUGGGUUUCUCUAAUGAUUAGCCUGGAAUUAGGGAUUUUAAGAACAAGAACCACAGGGGCUGGAGAGAUGGCUCAGUGGUUAAGAGCACUGACUGCUCUUCCAGAGGUCCUGAGUUCAAUUCCCAGCAGUGACAUAGUGGCUCACAGCCAUCUAUAAUGGGAUCCGAUGUGUAUUCAUAGAAAAUAAAUCAAUCUUUAAAAGAAAACAAAAAAAAGAACAAGAACCGCCAGGCGCACGCCUCUAAUCCCAGCACUGGGGAGGCAGAGGCAGGCAGAUUUCCGAGUUCGAGGCCAGCCUGGUCUACAGAGUGAGUUCCAGGACAGCCAGGGCUACACAGAGAAACCCUGUCUCAGAAAAAAAAAAAAAAAAAGAAAAGAAAAGAAAAGGAAAAAAAGAGCAAGAACCACAGAGACAGAUCACCCUGAUGACAUAUUAAGAGAUCUGUGGUAUUCAUGCCAUCUAUUGAGCUGACAAGGUCUUCCACUAUAAAACUACUGCUUGCACUUUCUGCACUUGUUUUUAUUUUUUGGAGGUGUCAUACAUUUGUGUAACAACUUUUAUAAUCAUUUUCAUGUGCACACCUCCCUCUCCUGGAAUUCUCAGCAAAUCCACCUCUUACCUCUAUCCCCCACCCCUCAGAAAAGAUCAUUAUAGCGACAUACUGGUAGUGACCAGCCUUAUGUGUCUACACCCAUUCUUUACAAGCAAGUUACCAGAGCAGGAGGGGUGAGUCCAUUUUCUACAUAUAGUAAGUGGAAUUUUGUGAGGAAGAUCUAUCUUACUCAAUUUCUCUCUUUCUCUCUCCCUCUCUCCUGUUAUUUUAAUUGUAUAUUGCACUGGCUCUUUUACAUUCACUUCAUACUUCUUGUAUCUAAUUCUAUGUCGUUUACUGCUGAGAUUGUGCCCACCUUGGCAGUCUGUAGAUCUUUUACGUUGGUACCUCUGCCCUUUUGGCAUGCCUUCUUAGUUUUUGGUUCUACAUCAUAAGUCAUCUUUUUAUCUUUUUUCUUUGCCCAGCCUUACUUAGCCUUGACCAUUUCUCCAAGGAGCCUUGGUACCUUUUAUUAAACAAUGGAAUUCACAAAUUACCGUCUAGGAUCUGGGUUUGUUCCUUGCUGCUAGAGUCCAUUUCAAAGUCCUCUCAGUGGACAGGUGUCUGAAUUUAGUUUCAUUUGCUAUGAUAAAACACCAUGACUGGGCUGGAGAGAUGGCUUAGCAGUUAGGAGCACUGACUGCUCUUCCAGAGGUCCUGAGUUCAAUUCCCAGCAACCACACGGUGGCUCACAAAUGGGAUCCUAUGCCUUCUGGUGUGUCUGAGGACAGUGAUGGUGUACCCACAUAUAUAAGAUAAAGUCUUAAAACAAAAACAACAACAAAACCCACCAUGACCAGAGGCAGUGUCGUGGGGAGGAGUAGCAUCACCCUGAGUGAGUUGCAUCCUCUCGCAUCAGUCACCAAGGAAGAAAAUGCACCACAGCCAAACUAAUAGGGGUAUUUUCUCAAUUCAGGUUCCUUUUUUGGUUUUUUGGUUUUGUGUGUGUGUGGUUUUUGUUUUUGUUUUGUUUUGUUUUGUUUUGUUUUUUGAAAGAGAAUUUCUCUGUGUAGCAUUGGCUGUCCUGGAAUCACUCUGUAGACCAGGCUGGCCUUGAACUCAGAGAUAUGCCUGCCUGUCUCUGCCUCCUGGGCACUGGGAUUAAAGAUGAGCACCACCACUACCCAACCAGUUGAGUAAGGGUCCUUCUUACCAAAUGACUCUAGCUUUCAUUAAGUUGACACAAAACUAGCGAGCACAGCAGGUAUUCAGACAUAUAUCUAUAAUUUUUUUUAAAGAUUUAUUUAUUUAUUACAUGUAAGUACACUGUAGCUGUCUUCAGACACUCCAGAAGAGGGAGUCAGAUCUCGUUAUGGAUGGUUUUGAGCCACCAUGUGGUUGCUGGGAUUUGAACUCCAGACCUUUGGAAGAGCAGUCGGGUGCUCUUACCCACUGAGCCAUCUCACCAGCCCAUAUAUCUAUAAUUGCAUGUUAGUCUAUACAUAUAAAUACUUGUUUCUAGGGCUGAAGAGAUGGAUCAGUAGUUAAGAACUCUUGCUUAGGAACUAAAUAAAUUCAGUUCUCUGCAUGAGUGUGGUGGCUCACCACCACAGUUCAAGUUCCAGAGGAUCUGGUGCCCUCUUCUGACUGCUCUGAGCACUACACACAUACAGUGCAUCCGACACAAAAGACAAGAAAUCUCUGUGGGUUUGUUUAAGAUUUAUUUUAUGUAUGUGAGUACACUCUUUCUGUUUUCAGACACACUAGAAAAGGGCAUCCAAUCCCAUUACAGAUGGUUGUGAGCCAUCAUGUGGUUGCUGGGAAUUGAACUCAAAAAGACUUUUUCAGAGCAGUCAGACCUCCUUUUUUUUCCCUAUAAAUAUUUUAUUUAUUUGUGUUUAGAAGUUGCAGUUUUAGUACUAUUAACAGAAAAUACAUAACAAAGGCUUCCUAAAAGUGAAAAAAAUUAUAAAUGUUGGAAAAGUUGGCCUCAUUAACAUAUUUGCAGACUUUUACUUAAUACACACUCCUUUGGAACUCACUUAUGACAUUUUUACAGGCUUUAUCACCCGAGUCUCUGAGUAGUGAGCACUUCAGCUCUUUACAGUCUCCCCGAGACUGUAAAUAAAUAAGCCAAAUGGUGGCAGCAGAGACAGGUAGAUCUCUGUGAAUUUAAGGCCAGCCUUGUCUACAGAAUGAGUUCCAGGAUGGACAGGGUUGCUGAGAAACCUGCUU
rnacentral:lncRNA from 1 species